rnacentral:rRNA from 1 species
CCCAGACUCCUACGGGAGGCAGCAGUGGGGAAUAUUGCACAAUGGGGGAAACCCUGAUGCAGCGACGCCGCGUGGGUGAAGAAGUAUUUCGGUAUGUAAAGCCCUCUCAGCAGGGAAGAAAGAAGACGGUACCUGACUAAGAAGCCCCGGCUAACUACGUGCCAGCAGCCGCGGUAAUACGUAGGGGGCGAGCGUUAUCCGGAUUCACUGGGUGUAAAGGGAGCGUAGACGGCCGUGCAAGCCAGGAGUGAAAGCCCGGGGCCCAACCCCGGGACUGCUCUUGGAACUGUGCGGCUGGAGUGCGGGAGGGGCAGGCGGAAUUCCUGGUGUAGCGGUGAAAUGCGUAGAUAUCAGGAGGAACACCGGCGGCGAAGGCGGCCUGCUGGACCGCGACUGACGUUGAGGCUCGAAAGCGUGGGGAGCGAACAGGAUUAGAUACCCUCGUA